CUAACGAGGAUUUCCCUAGUAACGGCGAGUGAAAAGGAAAAAGCCCAGCGCUGAAUCUAAUAGGCAUAUUUUGUCUAAAUAGAAAUGUAGCGUAUAGGUAUAACUAUCCGUAACAUAUUUUUUACACCCAAAGUCCCCUUGAGCGAGGCCAUUAUCCAUAGAAGGUGCUAGACCUGUAAGGGUGAAAAAAAGUUACGGUAGGUUAUACCAUGGAGUCGGGUUGUUUGAGAUUGCAGCCCAAAGAGGGUGGUAAACCUCAUCUAAGGCUAAAUACGACCACGAGACCGAUAGCAAACAAGUACCGUGAGGGAAAGUUGCAAAGAACUUUGAAGAGAGAGUUCAAGAGGGCGUGAAACCGCUGAGAUGGAAACGGAUAGAGUUAACGAAACUUAUCGGUAUUCAACCAAUCAAAUUUAGCAUAUUAUCUUUCAUAUUAUUCCAUUAUUAAUUUUUUUUUUUUUGGGAAAAAAAAAAAAAAAAAAAAAAAAAGGGGAAAAGGGGKAUAAAAUUAUUUGGAAAAUUUUUUUUGAUAAAAAAAUAARAAWUGGGGGUUUUCCCCGAUGGUAUGCCUCGAGAGYUUCUUUUUAACAUAUWAAUACGGGGUAUUKGGGSCCAAAUAAUUUAWAAAAAAAAUURUAAAACCCCAAACCGUKGAAAAAUWUGUWUAAAAARGAGUUUUUUUUUUUUCCCAAAUAUAUGUAACAAAUUAUUGCAUCGAUUAUAAUUUCAUUAGUUACAUUUACAUGUAGUCGCAUGCGACUUUAACGGUAAAUGUUCACAUGGAAUAAAAAAUGUUUGAAAAUUAAWGAAAUUAUAAUAUUGUAUGCUUGUUACAUAUAUAUAUAUAUCUCGAUGUGAACGUUAAUCACCUAUCUGACCCGUCUUGAAACACGGACCAAGGAGU
rnacentral:rRNA from 1 species